rnacentral:rRNA from 1 species
AACGAACGCUGGCGGCAGGCCUAACACAUGCAAGUCGAGCGAUCCCUUCGGGGAUAGCGGCGGACGGGUGAGUAACGCGUGGGAACGUACCCUUUGCUACGGAAUAGCCUCGGGAAACUGGGAGUAAUACCGUAUGUGCCCUUCGGGGGAAAGAUUUAUCGGCAAAGGAUCGGCCCGCGUUGGAUUAGGUAGUUGGUGGGGUAAUGGCCUACCAAGCCUACGAUCCAUAGCUGGUUUGAGAGGAUGAUCAGCCACACUGGGACUGAGACACGGCCCAGACUCCUACGGGAGGCAGCAGUGGGGAAUCUUAGGCAAUGGGGGCAACCCUGAUCUAGCCAUGCCGCGUGAGUGAUGAAGGCCUUAGGGUUGUAAAGCUCUUUCAGCUGGGAAGAUAAUGACGGUACCAGCAGAAGAAGCCCCGGCUAACUCCGUG